GCUGGGCGCGGCGGCGGGCGCCUGUAGUCCCAGCUACUCGGGAGACUGAGGCAGGAGAAUGGCGUGAACCCGGGAAGCGGAGCUUGCAGUGAGCCGAGAUUGUGCCUUCGCACUCCAGCCUGGGUGAGACUCGUCUCAAAAAAAAAAAAAAAAAAAAAGAAAGAUAAUAAUAUAUUAAUUACCAAAAUCAGAAAGAUAAUAAUAUAUUAAUUACCCUUGUGUUAUGUAGCUCAGGUUUUUUUGUUUUUUUUUUUUUUUAAAGACGGAGUCGCUCUGUCGCCCAGGCUGGAGUGCAGAGGCGCGAUCUCGGCUCACUGCAAGCUCCGCCUCCCGGGUUCACCCCAUUCUGCCUCAG
rnacentral:SRP_RNA from 1 species